rnacentral:tRNA from 1 species
GCCCUGGUGGUGUAGCGGUUAUCAUAUGGCCCUGUCGAGGCCAUGACCCGGGUUCAAUUCCCGGCAGGGGCG